UACGGAGGGGGCUAGCGUUGUUCGGAAUUACUGGGCGUAAAGCGCACGUAGGCGGCUUUGCAAGUUAGAGGUGAAAGCCCGGGGCUCAACUCCGGAAUUGCCUUUAAAACUGCAUCGCUAGAAUUGUGGAGAGGUAAGUGGAAUUCCGAGUGUAGAGGUGAAAUUCGUAGAUAUUCGGAAGAACACCAGUGGCGAAGGCGACUUACUGGACACAUAUUGACGCUGAGAUACGAAAGCGUGGGUAGCAAACAGG
rnacentral:rRNA from 1 species